ensembl:lncRNA
GGGAAGGAUGUCUUUCUGUGUUUUUUUUCUUGGAGAAGCUUUUUUUUUUUUUUUUUUUUUUUUUUUUUUUCCUAAACCUAGAAUCUUCUGAUAGGGUGAAGGAAGAGUGGAGGAAGGUGAGGUCAGAGGAAAAGGUAGGUCUCACCUAAGCUUGGGACAGACUUCAGGAAAACUGCAUGCCAGUUCUUAAUGCAGUCUUCAAGAGUAAACUCCUGGUAAACCUCCUCUACGUUCAGAUGGAGCCAGUUCAAUCCAGGUCGGCUUUUGGAUCGACACCUUCUCCCUCCCAGUGAGAUAUAGCUCUCUGUGCUGCCCAGCAGCAUUUGGUACAUUUAUAAGGCCAUUUGUGAUAGUACUGUUAUUUUGAGAAUGUUAUGGAGUGGCUGUGUGCUGGGUGGCUGCUGCAGCCAGACACAGCACCAGGAAAGAGAAGGAACAGACUGCAGCAUGGCCAUGCUUGGGAGCAGAAGCAAGGCUUGGCAAGAUCUGCACUGAUAGGCCAUGCUGAGGAUGUGGUUGCUCCAGUGUCCUAAAGCAGGGAUUCCAAGCUCCUGCUUCCCCAGGGGAGGAUAGUGAAGCCUUCUACAUGUAGCAAAUAACCACAGCAGCAGACUGCUGGAGUGCCAGAAGCAGC